rnacentral:rRNA from 1 species
GACGAACGCUGGCGGCGUGCUUAACACAUGCAAGUCGAACGGAAAGGCCCUGGUUUUGUGGGGGGCUCGAGUGGCGAACGGGUGAGUAACACGUGAGUAACCUGCCCUUGACUUUGGGAUAACUUCAGGAAACUGGGGCUAAUACCGGAUAGGAGCUCCUGCGGCAUGGUGGGGGUUGGAAAGUUUCGGCGGUUGGGGAUGGAUGCGGGGCUUAUGAGCUUGGUGGUGGGGUAGUGGCUUACCAAGGCUUUGACGGGUAGCCGGCCUGAGAGGGUGACCGGCCACAUUGGGACUAAGGUACGGCGCAGACUCGUACGGGAGACAGCAGUGGGGAAUAUUGCACAAUGGGCGGACGCCUGAUGAAGCAACGCCGCGUGCGGGAUGAAGGCCUUCCGGUUGUGAACCGCUUUCGCCUGUGACGAAGGGUGAGUGACGGUAAUGGGUAAAGAAGCACCGGCUAACUACGUG